UAUUGCUCUGUUCCAAAAUCAUUCUCUUUCUGAUCCUGAUUCUUCCCACCCACCCAUUUCUCACAUUGUCUUUAGGCUAAAUCUCUCUCAAAACCCCCUUUUUUUCCCUUUCUGUUGUCACCUGGAUUUUGUUUUAUUGGGCAGUCUUUUCUCUUAUGAAAGUACCUUUUUAUUUAGUUUUUCUUUGAUUGAUUGAGUGAAGAAAGAAAAGUUUUGGGGCUUCAACACUUCCAUGGAUGCUUUGAUUCUUGCGUCCUCUACUGGGGGACUUUCUUUGUUCGCCUCUGGAAGGAGUAGCUGGAGGAGUAAUGAUUUGAAGGCUGUACAUUCUCCAAGUUCUUCAAUAGGAGUGCAAGUGCCAACAUGCAGUUCAUAUAACGUCGUAGGAAAGUAUUAUACUCUGAGGUUUCACCGGCAGGUUAUGAAGCAUUAUGGUAGAGGUAUCCAGGAUACACCUACAGCCUUCCAGAAAAGUAAUACAAAGUUUCUGCUGAAUGCCUCCUCUGAUCACCCACUUGAAUCAGAGCCAGGAGCUUAUCCCAAGAAUACUUGGAACUCUGUAAAAAGUGCAUUGGAUGCUUUUUACAGGUUUUCACGGCCUCACACGGUUAUAGGCACAAGCUCAUUUCCCUUCUCUCAGCAGGCACUCAGCAUUGUUUCAGUUUCUCUCCUUGCCAUUGAGAAGGUGUCGGAUGUUUCUUCCCUGUUUUUUACUGGGGUGUUGGAGGCUGUGGUUGCUGCACUUAUGAUGAAUAUUUAUAUUGUUGGUUUAAAUCAGUUGUCCGACAUUGAGAUAGACAAGGUUAACAAGCCUUAUCUUCCAUUGGCAUCAGGGGAAUAUUCUAUUUUUACCGGCAUCAUAAUUGUCACAUCCUUUUCCAUCAUGAGCUUUUGGCUUGGAUGGAUUGUUGGUUCAUGGCCAUUAUUUUGGGCUCUUUUCAUCAGUUUUGUGCUUGGGACUGCAUACUCAAUCAAUUUGCCACUAUUGAGAUGGAAAAGGUUUGCAUUGGUUGCAGCAAUGUGCAUCCUUGCUGUUCGAGCAGUGAUUGUUCAACUUGCUUUUUAUUUGCACAUACAGACCCAUGUAUUCAGCAGACCAGCUAUCAUUUCAAAGCCUCUAAUUUUUGCUACUGCAUUCAUGAGCUUCUUCUCAGUUGUUAUAGCAUUAUUUAAGGAUAUACCUGAUAUUGAAGGAGAUACGAUAUUUGGAAUCAAAUCUUAUACAGUACGUCUAGGUCAAAAACGGGUGUUUUGGACUUGUAUUUCACUUCUUGAAAUGGCUUAUGGUGUUUCUAUUUUGGUUGGAGCAACAUCUUCCUAUACCUGGAGCAAAGUCAUCACUGUUUUGGGUCAUUCCAUCUUGGCUUCAAUUUUAUGGAUCCGUGCCAAAUCUGUUGAUCUGAAGAGCAAAGCUGCAAUAACAUCAUGUUAUAUGUUUAUUUGGAAGGGAGCAAACUAGGAUGCAAUAAAAUACUAGGUAUAUUCUAGCAUGGGUUGGUUUUAGCCUACUCAAAUAAGCUUGAGCCUCAUUGGAAAUGACGUGGUAACGAACUCCACAAGCAGAGUACCUCUCCUCUGUGCACGGGCUUGUUGAAAAUGGCAAAGAGGAAGUGACUACUGCUCCUGAAGAAUUUGACGAACCUUUUCCGUUGCCAGCUCUACCAAUUUUAGUGCCCUUUCGGAGUAUAAUUUAUCAUUUAGACUCUCAUUUCUAGCUGAGCUCUUUUAUGCAGAGUACUUUCUCAUACCACUUAUAAGGUGAGAGGUCUACUUCAUUCCAAAAGUAGAGAAACAUAAGAUGCCAUCAAAAUUCAAGAGCCAGUAACUGAUUCUUUGAAGAUAAAGAAAUGCAAAUCCAAGGAAUUUGUCGGCAGAAUUGUGAGAUUCUGGAUGAUUUGCACACCAUUGUAUAAAUGUGAUCUUGUAAGCAAUUGUAGUAUUGCUAGAAUUCUAUAAUGCCCAGAAAAGUGACAUCAACCAUCUCUUGUCCAACUUUUUUUUUUUUUAACAGAUUGAAUAGUACCGACUGACAGA